CACGGUGAUCUGAGGCUUGAGCAGUGACACAGACGCUCACGCACACGCACACGCACACGCGCACACCCUCAGACGCACAAGAGCUCCGCCCCUUUCCGCUGACAGAAACAUAAAACCUUGCGUUUGGCUAUUACCUGUGUUCUUUCCUGAGGAGCCUGGGCUCUCGCACCUCUUCAUUCUUUGAUGAAGAACGAAACUUUCCUUCACUUCCGAACCGAACUCGGCCUGGUUCUAUGGGCGACUGUGAGAAGUGGGGACCCCUACACCCUGUUUCUUCCUUCAGGAGUCUACAAAUUCUAACCACAUCCUCACUGAAGAUACAACUGGGAAAGAACUGCUGUGUAUAGAAACCUAUCUUCGUUCAUCUGUUGGUACUGCUUCAUGCAGGUAGCAUAAGGUCCGGAAGAUCCCCUGGAGGAGUCCAUGGCAACCCACUCCAGUAUUCUUGCCUAGAGAAAACCCAUGGACAUAGGAGCCUGGCAGGAUAUAUUCUGUGGGAUCACAGAGUCAAGCACGACUGAAGAGACUGAGCAGCAUGCUCUAGCUAUAUGUGUGGAUGAUUUUUUUCAUUUAUUGUAUGUUUUUCUUACUGAUGAGCUUUUUCAUUUUGUAAUUUUCAUGCAAAGCUGGUUUGAUGGUGCUUAGUUUUGCUUGUCUGUAAAGUUUUUGAUCUCUUCAUCAAGCAUAAGUUAUUAAGGAGUUGAAGCUCCCUCUGCUCGCCUUACAACAAGCCAAUGAAUCAGAGAGAUGUUGUGGCAAGGAAUACAACUCUAUUUGGAAAGCCAGCAGACUGAGAAUAUGGCAGACUAAUGUCUCAAAAUAACCAUCUUAUUGAGGUUUGCAUACCAGAUUCUUUUAUAGAAUAAGCAGGGAAGUUGAGGAGGUAAAGUAAAAAAGGCUGUGACUCUUACAAACCUCUCCUGGAAUGACUGGCCUUGACGGGGGGAUGUAUUGAUUUCCUUCUUCCUGUAGCCAUCCACAGGUGAACAAAGUCCUGAUCAAAGGCAUUUUGGUGUAACAUUCAGGCAGAGGGGUAAGUUUUCCUGAGGCAGGCCACAUGUAUGGACAGUAUCCUUUAAGUGAACAAAAGCAAUGGGAAGCAAACAUUAAAGUGAAAGAGAUCCAACAUGGAGUCAGUUCUUCUCUAUAACAAUUCCCCACAUCAAUAUCCCUUCCAUAAUCUUCUGGAAAAGAGGGCAGUGACCAUUUUAAUUGCUUCUUGUUGUGUGUUGUCAGAUUAAUCUCUCUGGGAAUGUCCAGUACUGAUGGUAGUGUUCCAAAUGCUGCUGCUUUUGUUCCUAUAUGGGAAUUGCCUACUUUAUACCUGUAGACUUAAAAAAAAAUUUAUAACCAAAAAGUUAAGAGUUAUGUUUUAUUAGGUGGGAAUUUUGAGGACUUCAAGCCUAGGAGGCAGCACCUCAAGUUAAGGAAUUUAGUGCUUUUUUAUGUAUGGGAAGAUGCAAAAAUCUGGGCCCACUGAAAUUAUUUCCUUGAUAUGCACCUCAGCUAUCUGUGGGCCUGUAUCCUGUAACCUGAGUUUCCUCAGGGCUCACCAUAGGGAGUGACUGUAGUCUGAUAGAUGCUGGAUGGCAGGUAUUCUUAUCCUUCCUGACUUUUUUUCAGGGAUCACUGGCUCACAUUGGAGGGCUGCUUCAGAUCCUUUCCUCUUGGACAAUAUUUGGGAGACAUUUCAUGAUCAAAUUUUGUCCCAUAUUGUUGUGAGUCUCAUCUCAAAUCAGGUGAAAAUUCUUGAUAUACCAACUCAAGUGUUAAAUUUUGGAUUAGACCCAUUGAUAAUUAAAGACUGUCUAGAUCUUG